AGUAACCUGCCUUGGAGUGGGGAAUAACAGCUGGAAACAGCUGCUAAUACCGCAUAAUAUAUCUGUGUCGCAUGGCACUGGAUAUCAAAGAUUUAUCGCUCUGAGAUGGACUCGCGUCUGAUUAGCUGGUUGGCGGGGUAACGGCCCACCAAGGCGACGAUCAGUAGCCGGACUGAGAGGUUGGCCGGCCACAUUGGGACUGAGACACGGCCCAGACUCCUACGGAAGGCAGCAG
rnacentral:rRNA from 1 species